GACGUCGAAUAUCGACGUCAUCAACACGAAAGUUGAUCGUGUUUAUGUGGUCGAAUAUCGACGUCAUAAACAUCAAAGUUGAUCUUGUUUAUGACGUCCAAUAUCGACGUUAUAAACACAAAAGUUGAUCGUGGUUAUGAUGUCGAAUAUCGACGUCAUAAACACCAAAGAUGAUCGUGUUUAUGACGUCGAAUAUCGACGUCAUAAACACCAAAGUUGAUCGUGUUUAUGACGCCGAAUAUCGACGUCAUAAACACCAAAGUUGAUGGUGUUUAUGUCGUCGAAUAUCGACGUC
rnacentral:miRNA from 1 species